rnacentral:rRNA from 1 species
CUAAGAAUCUUCCGCAAUGGGCGAAAGCCUGACGGAGCGACGCCGCGUGGACGAUGAAGGCCGAAAGGAUGUAAAGUCCUUUUCUCUGCGAAGAAUAAGUGGGGGAGGAAAUGCCCCUAUGAUGACGUUAGCAGAGGAAUAAGCCCCGGCUAAUUACGUGCCAGCAGCCGCGGUAAUACGUAAGGGGCGAGCGUUGUUCGGAAUUAUUGGGUGUAAAGGGUGCGUAGGCGGUUUGACAAGUCUGUGUUGAAGGCAACGGCUUAACCGUUGUUUGGCGCUGGAAACUGUUAGACUUGAGUUUAGGAGGGGGAGCUGGAAUUCCAGGUGUAGGGGUGAAAUCUGUAGAUAUCUGGAAGAACACCGGUGGCGAAGGCGAGCUCCUGGCCAUAGACUGACGCUGAGGCACGAAAGCGUGGGGAGCGAACA